UACGUAGGGGGCAAGCGUUGUCCGGAUUUAUUGGGCGUAAAGAGCUCGUAGGUGGUUCGGUAAGUCGGAUGUGAAAUCUCCAGGCUCAACCUGGAGGGGUCAUUCGAUACUGCCGUGACUAGAGUUCGGUAGGGGAGUAUGGAAUUCCUGGUGGAGCGGUGAAAUGCGCAGAUAUCAGGAGGAACACCCGUAGCGAAGGCGGCACUCUGGGCCGAUACUGACACUGAGGAGCGAAAGCGUGGGGAGCGAACAGG
rnacentral:rRNA from 1 species